GGCAAGAUGACCGAGUGGUUAAGGUGGUGCACUCAAGUUAUGGGUUAGCUUUCUCUAGUCAACUAGUAGAAGCAAUGCACUCUCGCAAGAGGCCUGGGUUCGACUCCCAGUCUUGCCA
rnacentral:tRNA from 1 species